CACUCGUCUCUCCUUCCCCCUCUCCCGCCGUCGCCGGCACGCGCCGCCUCCGCCUUGCCCUCGCGCCGCCGCGUCCACCGCGGCCACGGCCGCCGCGUCCACCUCCGCCGCUGUCGCGUCGCCGUCAGCGAGGCGAGCCGCCAUCUCCGCCUUAGCCACCGCCGUCGUCGAGCGCCGCCGCUGCCAACCGCCACUUCCGGCCGCCGGCGUCCCGAUCCGGCCGCCUUCCCCUCGCAGCACGCCGUCGCCGUCACCGAGCGCGCCGCCUCCGCCUCACGUCGGUGCUGCCGACCGCCGGGUCCGGCUGCCUUCGACGGUCGACGUCUGGAUCCGGCCUCCGUGUUGUCGGGGCAUGCGGAUCUGACCGCCCGCGUCCCCUCCUCGCCUCACCCUCUCACUCUCCCUCUCCCUCUUCCUCUGACCGCCCCCGUCCGGAUCCCACUUCGCUGCCGCUCUCCCCGCGACGAGCAUAGGCACGGCUGCAUCUUUCCGGCGGCGGCGACAUCUUCUCGACGACGACAGCGUCUUCUCGGCGUAGGCAGCGUGGUUCAUAGGAGAGCCAUGGCUUUUGGAGAUGAAGUUGCACAACAGUUGUGGGCGGGGAAGACCUGUGUCCUCGUGGGUGGAGCUGUCGAGAGAAAUUUCACUAUUGUGACCAGCAGUAGUUUCAGCGCUUGGAGGAUUCAAUCUUCACUGUCGGUACAAUCAUUUGUUGGGAAAUAACUUGUCGGAUGAUAUUCCUUUCCACCUGCCAUUUUACUCCUCAGAUUACAUCUGUUGUCGUGUUAUGCAUUUGGUGUGUUGCUGCAAAUCCUGGUGACCCUGGCAUUUUCAAGUCGGCAGAGCAUCCAAAAUUGAACAAGGAUGGAAGGCGAUCCCAGAAAAAUUCAGAUCAUGGGUUAAGUCAAGGAGGAAAAAUGUCAAGUGAUGGAUUUAAUGCUGUUUAUAACAGCGAGAAAUUGAGCAACAUGCUUGAGCUAAAAGAUUCACAUUCCUAGCCCACAUUUUCUGAAAUACUUUGUUUCCCCUUUUCCUGCCUUUGCAAAAGAUGCUUCCAUGCGGAUCAUCAGUCAUCUGAACAGCACAUGAGUGAAGAAGGAAUGUUCUUCUUCAGCUUGUGUGCGAAGCAGAGGUAUGAUCAACUGAUGUUCAGAAAUUUUAAUUUUCUAAGGUUAUUGGGGUUAUUGGCCACAAGCUCCAUUUGUUGCACUGGUCUCUUUUAAUGAUGUGUCAGUACUUUAGAUUAUAGUGUGACAUGUGCUGGUAAAUAUAAGCCAGUAGGAGUAUCAGAAUAAUCAAUGUAAUUUAGAAACAACUAUGGUUAACUAGAUUGCAUUCAUACAAGAAUCAUGAUUGUUAUUAGUAUCAAAUAUUCAUGUAAUUCCAAAUUAUAAAUGAUUGUCCACGUGCUGUGCAUAUGCGUACUCCCAAAAUAAUCAAAUCAAUUACUUUAUCUAUGCAAACAAUGUUUACUUCCAAAUUGUUCAUACCAGCACUUUCUGGUUCUACAUGUUUUAUAGUUGUGUGUUGAAAAGUAUGAAAGAGCCGGUGCAAGCUUUCUAAAUGCUGAAUGCUAAUGAUUUUGGCCUGUCAAAACAUUUGAUGGUAUCUUCAGUGAUUGCACUAUCUUAUGGGUGAUACAUGCUGCUAAGACUAUGUAAUAGGCUGGUCCUGAAGAGUGAAGAACAGUAAGCAUUGUAGAGUAUGUGACAAGUGUGUCGAUGGCGUUGAUCAUCAUUGCAGAUGACUCAACAAUUGCACAGGGAAAAGGAACUACAAAGGGUUCUUCGUUCUAAUGACUUGCUGUACUCCUUGUUUCCAUGGUUUGUACACCUUGGACCAGCUUGUAAUGCAGUGGCUGUCAGGAGCCCUUGUGCUGAUUCUCUGCAUUGUGGAGCGAGGGGAGUUCUCCAGACAGAUUGUUUACAAGUUAGGAAGUACCUUCUCAACUGUAGUGUUUAUAAUUGUUGUGGAUAUUAGUACGUAUGAUUACAUCAUAGCUUUAAGAGAGCAAGACGAGGAUCAACAGGAAGAGAUUGCUGGGCACCAAAGUCCGUAGAUGUGUAUUAUUAGCUCUGUUACUGGAUUUAGCACUGCAAGUUUUUUGGUCCGCUUCAUCGUGGUUCAUGGUGCACUCCACCACGAUUGUUCCUUGAAGAUCAGUUUGAUGUCAUCCCUCCAGAGAUUGGCAUGCAACAGAACUCAGGGAGCCAUGUGCAACCUAGCUGAGCCGCCGGCUGUAAGGUAUAAGUCAUGUCUCCUCUGCAUCCCUCUCUCACUACUCUGGUUGUACUGCACUGCUCCCAACUGAAAGCUUUGAAAUCGAGUGGAAAUGUGUAUUGAUUUCAUUGCUCUGGUUAUGCAAAAUAUUCAUUGGAUGAAAAUCAUAUGCGCAGAUCUGUUUUUAGUAGUAGUUUCACAGGAUCACAAUUCGACCAGGAUUUACAAAUAUCUCUUUUGAAAUUAGUGGCCAUGACCAGAGGAGUUACAAGCUAUGGAAAAAACUAUGAAUCUACACAAUUAGUCUAUCUGUUCAUUGAAAAUGCUAAAGGACUGGUAAUGUUAAAAAUAUUAAAUGGAAAUAUAUUGUAGUUUGCGUACUUUUCAUUCAAAAUUUAUGCCUUGCCAUUUAAUUGGUGCUAGGUACCGUAUAUGGUAAAUAAAAUUUUUAGUAGUUUUGUAUGUACAAAUGAACAUGUUCUUGGAAGCAUAUUAUGCUAAAUAGAUGUUCUUGAUCCUGGUUGUCUUCUAGGUGCAUGUCCAUUAGUAAGCUAGAAGUAUGUUUUUAAUCUGCAGUUCUAGGGAGAACAACCAAUAUUGGUUCUACAGGGCCAAUCUGCAGCCAUAGCUGCAGGCUUCCGUCAGUGCUAUCAACAAGAACAUGCUUAUGUAGGUUGUUUUAUUUUGCCUCGCUUUGUAUGGAUUAGUUUCUUUGAUUUAUUCAUCCUAGCAUUGUUUGCCACAUCCAUUUUAACUUGUUUUGCCUUAUUUUUAUUAUUGACAAAUACAACAGCCAUGUAACCAAUUUAAGAUUUAGUUUCCUGUUAGCUUUGAGAUUUACUAAAAAAUAAUACAUUACCUCCUGACAACUAAUGCAUUUAGGCCCAGUAAUGAAUGUAUCCUAGGGGCACUGAUGUGUCCUAUUUUUCAUAUUCACUGUCAAAAUAAAAAAAAAUGCCUCUGUUCUAUUUUUUGGUUGUGCUGAUGGUAAUAUGCUUUUAUAACAUAGAUAUGCUGCAUUUGUGCAAAAAUUAAUUGUUUUGGAAGGUAUCACUGAAAAAAGGCAUUUCAAAUUGCAGGUUUGAACUACUGCCCUCUGAUUGAACUUACUGCAUUUUGUUAUUAAACACCUCACUCUGAGUUUAUUUGUAGAAUUUUCCAGUCUAAACUUAGAUAUCUCUUGCUCUAAUUAGCGAAGAUAGUUUUAGUUGUGAUUCUGUUAGGUUUUUGUAAUAUACACCAUGAGGCAACUCUAGGCUGUGGGAAGACCAAGCAGUAAUACAUUUUCUUUUGAUAAGGAACGUUCAGUGACUCAAUUUUAACCAGUGUUGUGACCUAUUAUUCGUUAUAGGGGAUGAAAUUGUUACCAAUGGGCAUCUGCUAGAAAGAAACCAGCGUGUAAACUCUGUGGCGUUGCACUCCAGGUGUUUGUGGUUUUGCCUUAUGUAGUAGUUUGAAUUUUGCUUUGCGAUAUGGUGCUUGCAGGGGCUGAUCACUGGAGGUGUGAUUCUGUUUGCCAGUUGAGGGAAGAAUUCACACGCUUCUGUUCACUGAGGACAUCUUCUCAACCUAUUGCUUCCACCGAUCAUCUUUAAUGAUAGCUUCGGCGAUUCCGGUAAUUUUUGCGUUUUGUAUAUCUAUCGUAGCUUGCAUCCUCACCAAAAUUUGAUUAGCAAAAUGCUGCAGUUAAGAAGCUCAAGAAAAGACAUGACCGGUAACUGAAGAAAGGUGGAGAUGUUCUUUUCCUUUUGGCAUUGGUUCAGAUUAGCAAAAUGCUGCAGUUAAGAAUCUCAAGAAAAGGUUCAGUUCUUCUCCUUCCAGUUCUUUUGUUUUCGAAAUUACUAUCAGAAAAAAAUGCAGGUGCUCAUGUAGCUCUCUCGCGCCAAGAACACUGCUCUCAAACUGAUUCAAUGUUUUCAGACAUAACCAGUAACUGAAGAAAGGUGGAGAGAGGUUCUUCUUAUGUUACUUGGUUCGCUCUCUGUGCCCACACUGCAAGAGUGCCACCAAUAUCGGCCAGCCCUCACCGUGUGACCUACUACUGCUUCGAUGCUCUACUAUCUACAUGCCAUUUUUGGUAUGUUUGUUGUAUGACUGUUUGCAUGGGCGGUAGCGCGAGCGGCGGCGGCGGGCGGGCGGUGGGCGGAGGCGUGAGGCGAGGCGGGGGCGGGGUGGUGGACGGCGGCGUGCAGGGGUGGGCGGUGGGCGGCAGCGCGAGGCGAGCACGGCGGCGGAGGCGUCGAGGCUGAAGCCCAAGAGGUGGUCGGCCACGACACAGGUGACCGGCGGCACGGCGUCGUCGUCGUCAUCGCUGGCGGCACGGUUGUUGAGGUCGGCGAGCAGCUUCCUAAAGUGGGGGAGGCAGGUAGUCAUGGUGGCGUCGGCGUCGGACUCCGGUAGGCCGUCCGGGAUGGUGGCGAAGAGGAACCCCGGGAUUCCGGCCACGGCAGCGGCGGCGGUUGUACUCGCCGUCGCCGCAUGCAGUCGUCCGCCGUCAGCGCCCGCCUCCUCGUCUCGCGCCGCUGCCUCGUCUUGCGCCGCUGCCUCGUCUCUCGCCGCUGCCCACCGCCCUGCCCCGCACGCCGCCGUCUGCCCAUCCGCCGCUCCCUCUUCUCGCGCCGCCGCCAUCCACCGACACCUCCGCCGCUGCAUGCAGCCGUAUGCCGUCCAGCGCCCGUCCACUCGUCUCGCGCCGCCACCUGCCCACCGCCCGGCCCCGCGCGCCGCCGUCCGCCCGUCCGCCGCUCCCUCGUCUCGCGCCGCCGCCAUCCACCAGGAGGCCCCCGAGGUCGACGCGGCCGCGGCGCGGAGCCCCCUGGCGGCUGCCGCCUCGCCUCACCUCGCCGCUGCCCGCGCUCGCUGCCUCUGCCGUCGCCGUUUGAACUCUGAAGGAGAAGAGAGAGAGACAGUGAGGGAUAGAAGAGAUAGAAGAGAGAGAAACUGACAGGCGCGCGAAUGAGUUCGCACCUACUAUUGAAUUCUCUUACUACUCACCCAUCCGAGGUACUCUUUCUGGUUGUCCCAAAUCAAGUUUAGAUUGCCUGCAGAGAUAAUAUGGCACCAGAUAUUAUCCAUUCUAGGGUUAAUGCUGAAUUCUGCAUCCUGGUUUUUGUUUUGUGCCACUCUGUUGCAUGUGAACAUGUUCGUCUGAAAAUGGGGUUUGGAAGGAUGAACCAUCAACAUAUCCGCUACAUUUAUUCUUCGGUGAAUAGCUAAUAUUUCUUCUAUCAGUGUUAGCCACGGAAAAUCAGAUAGGGCAGCGAAUUCAAAAUGUAGAACCCUGUCCUGCUAAAUAAAGUAGUGCUUUAUUUUUACUACAGGUGCAUUACUUCUGUAUUUAUUCUCUUUUUAUUUUCAUCUUAGCAAAUAAGAUACUGAUGAUAUGACUUGAUUAUGUGGAUCUAAUCAUUCAUUUUCAAAUAAUGGAUAAACUUGCAUGUAUAGUGUAUCUAUAGAUAUGUAUGUAUGGCUAAAACAAAAAUCUAAAUUGGACUGUAGAAUGAACAGAAGAAAAGCCAACAAAGAAGAACUCGCUUGUAAGAUGUACUGAAGCAAGAGAUGAAAAUAAAUGUUGUGAUUGUUGUCAUAGUGAAUGAUGAUUAAUAUUCUCAACUGUACUUCAAAUUUUUAAGGAAGUCAAAGUUUGAUUUUUUUUUUUUGGGGAAAAUUCUGAUGAUGACAAUAACUUGCAUGUUUACAGUACCAUUUUCUGUAUGCUAUUUCCAGGUGAUUGUUUGGAAGUGGCAUGCACAGGAGAGAUUAAUAAACUGCCAGAAGAGGAGAUGACAUAUAUCUGAUUGAUAGAAUUGUCUUUAGUGUACCAUAAUUAUACUUCGUCUUUAGAAUGUUGCUCCGCCUAUGUGGGCCGUUCGUCCCCAUAGGGUCAUGCCAAUUGCCAAAAUUGAUGUUGGGCGUUCGUUUUAGGCUCAUGUUGUUAGUGUAAAUGUGGUACACUGAUAGAGAUGCAGAAAGGGUUAUUCUGUAAAAAUGGGAGUAUGGGUUGGUCCUGUUGGACAGGGUUAGUACCAUCAGAGAGGAUUCUGGCAGUAUGUCAAUGUAGGCAUCAUUCAGUUAUUCUGCUUUUGAAAGAGGAACCACCUGUCAGGGAAAAAAAACUGGUGCAUGACAAGGGGAAAAAAGUAGUCGCAAAGAAAAUUCGAAAGCAGUUAGGUUUAGACGUAAAACCACAGUUAUAGUCUCUGGUUGACUUUACUAAAAAAGAGGAGUGAUUUUGUCGUAAGAAUGUUAACUGAGAAUUUUCUAUGUAAUGCUUGAAGCAAGCACACACACGUGUGGGCUGCUUACUGAUAUAUGAAGAUGAUAAUUCUGCCAUUCGUGUGGUGAAGCUGUGGUGAAAUUAGAGGAAAUGUUGAUUGCUGGAAUUGUGAAGAGAACAACUUGUUAUAAACCUUCGGGAUAUGCGAGUGCAUUUUCAUGUUACAAACUUAGCUAGCCAAUGUAGCACUGGUGCAAUGGGCUUGUUAUUAUUCUUUUUCGCAGAUCUAAAUACAUAAUUAUUUAAGGAAAAAAAUAUUGGGGCAUGGGCUCUUAGUGUAAAAAAGAAACUCCGGUUAAAAAACAGCUUUUGAGGUUGAGUAAAUGUGAGUCAAAUAAAAUUAACUUGGCUGCAUUUCCUUGUUAGAUUGAAGUGUUUAAUACUGAAGAAACUGAUCAGUCACAAGGAGGCUCCACUGGUUAAAUAAAUCAUGGCAAAUACUCAACAAGGAGUCUCUCAUCUAAAGAGUAUUCGCAACUAACUGUAAAUCCAUUGACUAGAUGAUACCACUGUUGGCUUUGUAUGUAUAUGUUGGCUUUGUAUGUAUAUGUUCUUCAAUAAGUCAAGCACAAAUUAGUGAAUGAUCCUUUGUCUCUAGCCUUGUAUAAAUGUAUAAUAUAUGAAAUCUACAUGUUUGCACAAUUGUGUACAGGCGGCGCGUCAUUGGCGCGCCCCAUCAUCUAGUAUAUUUUAAGUGUCUUAGGACAGACA